AACGAACGCUGGCGGCGUGCUUAACACAUGCAAGUCUAAAGGGAAUGUCGGCUUCGGCUGACUAGUACCUUGGCGAACGGGUGAGUAACACGUGGGUAAUCUGCCCUCGAGCUCGGGAUAACCUUGCGAAAGCGAGGCUAAUACCGGAUAAGACCACGCCCUGUACGCAGGGAGCGGUCAAAGGUGGCCUCUUCUUGAAAGCUAUCACUUGAGGAUGAGCCCGCGGCCUAUUAGCUAGUUGGUAGGGUAACGGCCUACCAAGGCGACGAUGGGUGGCCGGCCUGAGAGGGUGUACGGCCACACUGGAACUGAAACACGGUCCUGACUCCUACGGGAGGCAGCAGUGGGGAAUUUUGCGCAAUGGGGGAAACCCUGACGCAGCAACGCCGCGUGAGUGAUGAAGGCCUUCGGGUUGUAAAGCUCUUUUAGUGGGGAAGAAGCCCUCCGGGGUUAAUACCUCCGGGGUCUGACGGUACCCACAGAAAAAGUUCCGGCUAACUACGUGCCAGCAGCCGCAGUAAUAC
rnacentral:rRNA from 1 species